CCGUCACGUGCCCGGAAUCACCUGACUUGGAGCCUUGGAGGGGGGAGGAGGAGUCACGAGGAGGGUGGCCCGGCCGGCCGAGUCCUCUGCCCUCCGCCCUACCGAGCACCUCGGUCCUGCCCAGCCACGCGCCUUGCUCCUCGCCGCCUUUCUGCCUUCUUGGGAGCUUGGAGGCCAACGGGAGAUGCUCCCUGGGCAUUUGGGGGAAGAACUGAUUGUGCUCCUACAAUGGUACUCGCCCAACCAGUAUUUACUGAUGCCCGCGAUGUCCUGGGGGGGACAAGGGACACAAAAACUGAAACGGACUCGGACCCUGCCUGCCCUCAUGUUGCUUGGAGAUUAAUAGAGCUCGGAUCUCUGCAUAACGCAGCUGAAUGAAGCGUAGCAGGAUCUGAAUGGAUGACGUCCUUUUUCUACUCCAUUGAGCAUCUUCUUGUACAUUCUCUUCAUCCAUAUCCUUGAUAGAAAUGAUGAAGAGGAUCUCCAGAGGCCAGGCUGACUCUGAAUUCUUAAAUAGCACUGACUGAUACAACAGUUUAAACAGGUCAGUUUCCUCUUAAAAAUGUGGUUAUCCAACCCACUGGUUGCCCUUCUGUCCAAAAGGAUGGUACAGGAGACAGUAACCUGACUUAUGUAAACACUAAUACGAGUCCCAUAGUAGAGAAGCAAAUGAGGGUCAGCUGCCAGAAAAAAAAUUCUGCUUGUCUGUAUUCCACAAAGGGACUGUCAUACCAACUGUUUAAAGAAGCCAGGUCUCCCUCUCUUUGAAAAUCCCCAUGGGGCCAUGUUUUAUUGUUCUCAUGGUUCUUAGCACUUCCUAUCCCACAUUGUUAAUUGCUGAUGUACAUGUCUUAUAACUAACUUCAAGUCAUUCAUCUCUAACACCCAGCACUCAGCCUACUGCUGAGCAUGUAGGAGGCACUCAAAUUGGUAAAAGAUAAACCGAUUCAAGUGAAUGUUCUUCCAACAGUAUCUGGCCCCCCUCCAAAAACAAACUUGUGACUAGAAGAGACACAGACCAUUGCCACAUUCUUGCCAACAUGACUGAUUAAAAUGCCCUUAGAAUUAGCUCGGUCACAGUUUCCAGCAAGUGCUGAGGCUUUUGCUAGUUAAAUCAGCUUUCAUUGAUUUGUUCGGUUUUCUACGUGUGUUUUGACCAAAGAGUAAAAACAGGUUCUCUAACAAUAGGGUUAGAAUACAUGAAACAGAAUGACUCUUAAUAAUGUCAAGUCAGUCAGUAAGGAAUAUAAGUCACCAAUAAAAUGAAAAUAUCUGACUGUAGGUCUUCCAAAAGAAAGGAAAAGGACUAACAAACAAGAAUAUAGUGCUUUACCAUUUACAGAUCUUUCACAUACAUUCCAUUUGACCCUCACAACAACCCUGUGAGGUGGGCAGCACUGAUAGUAUUCUUCUCAUUUAACAGAUGAGGAAAGUGAAUCUCAGAGCAGGUAACUGAAGUGCCCAACGUUCUACAGUUAGUAGAUAAUUUGUAUUAAUAUCAGUCUUUGGCCUAAAAAUUCAGCACCCAACCUCGCCUCAUACUUGCUGUACCUACUUCACAGGGAUAAUGAAGAUAAAAUGAAUUCAAGGCUAGAAAAAUACUUUGAGGGAAAAAGCACUAUAUAAUUAUACCCGCAAACUAUAAUUUUCCACAAUAUAUGGCUCAUUCCCCUUCUCAUCCCAGCUUGUGCAGGAACCCAGAAUUUUAUAUUGCCUCAGUUCUGUGCUCAGCUGAGCAACUAAGUAAGGCGGGGAAACAGUGUGAUCCUGUUUGAAGUUACAUAAAUUACAAUCAGGGUAACUGCUAGUAUAGCAAAUUGAAAAACAACACAGGCCAAUGUGCAGCUAAGACCCACUGAAGCACAGAGCAAAGCAAGGCAACAUCAUCAGAUAGGGCAUGAUUGCAUAGAAGGAAACGUGGUGUCAGAGUUCCAACUGGCACACACACAGUCAUCUAAGGCAAAGUGGUGGCAAAGAAGAGUUAUUUGUUCCACAUUAUAUAAACACGAGCAGAAGAUUCAUGGGAACCCAUGCAAAAGCAUCUUCUGUCACACUGAUCUCUCCAGCUGCCUUCAGAGGAUAUAAACAACAGUGUCAUCUUCAUUUUAACAAAUGACUGUAGCUGUGCUCAUAUCCUGCACUGAACCAAGGAACAGCUCCAUGCUGAACUUCCUUGGCUAAAAUAUAACCAGUACCAUCAUUGCUAGUCAGACUAAUAAACAGAAUGUCUUUUAAGGUAAUGAAUUAGAUGGCUGUGUUUAGGUUUUUGUUUUUUUUUUCAGGAUUCACUUUGGAUGCUUUUAAGACCCAAAGAAAGUUAUAUUGAGUUUUUAUUGGUGAUUCUAAGUAUAUGUGUUUAUAACAGUUAAAGUGUGAUAGGUGAAUUCAACAUAUUAAAAGAGUUCUAGAGCAUCUGUUCAGAAAAGGUUAUAUACUAUACAAACUAUUCAAGUCAUACAAAACCAUUUUUUCAGUGUCUUUUCAACUGAGAAGGAUCCUAUUCAGCACGCUUCUCCUCCUGAGGUGGUUCAUACUGAGCAAGCUAUAGGGCAAAGACAGAGGAGUUUAGGUGAAUUUUAUUCUAAAUUGGGUAAAAAAAACUUAAUAGUAACAAAAUGAGUAGUUAACUAUUCAAUUACUGAACCAGGAACUUUAUAUGAAUAUCCUAUCCAUUUUUAAACCAUUUAAGAUUGAUACAAUUUAAGAUUUAAUACAAUCAAAUGUAAUGAAAACUCUUUUCAUAUAAACCUUUAAAAUUACUGGGAAACCAAUGCUGAAUUUCAGUUCAUGACUGCACUGCUCAAAUACUUAAUAAUGCAAUAAUCUGUCUCUUUCUUCCCAAAGAUGCUAUGGCUUCUGGUAAAGGACUUAACUCUUUCUCUUUAACAAAAGUUUACUGAACUUUCUCUUAAAAAGCAGGAAAAAAGAAUAAUGUAACAUAUAUUAAUCUAGCUAGUCAGUGAAGAGGAGCUCAUGUCUUUGACUUAAAUGGUGCCAAAGAGUUAACUGAUAAUUUGUAUUGUGGAAUCUUGGAUUAUUUAAGAGGCUGUAUUUUCUGUUAUGCUGAUUUAGGUUAUUCCAAUUAGUUGAGAGAUUUGAGAAGAUAAUUAGACUUCACUGUGCUUUAGUUUCCUACCUAUAAAUCGUUCUGUGUACCUGUUUCGCUUAUCUCGCAAGGUCGUUGAGCAGAUAAAUCACAUUAUAAGAAAUUCCUAGAGUAAUGUAAAAUGCGUUAUGUGAUUCAGAAUGUGGAAAAACCUCAAAGACUUAGAGUUGACUAAUUUGAAGUUUAUGAGAAGUCUCACAGGAGUUUCAACAGAGAAAAAACUUGAGCACAGACAAAAUUAAGUGCAAACAAAUUUAUAGAGAUAAACACAUUACAGUGCCAGCACAUACGACUGUGCAGGUUACACACUGCACAACUCUGAGAGGUGCCAUUCGUAAAGCAUUGACCUUACAAUGACCUACUUAAAUCAAGUGCUUAGGACUCCCAGAACUCUCCAUUUACUCAUAAGCAGCAUUAACCAAUGUUCUCAUCCUUUUUUUUUAAAAAAGUAGGCGCCAUGCUCUGCGUGGAGCCCAAUGCAGAGCUUGAACUUAAGACCCUAACAUCCCAAGACCUAGGCUGGGAUCAGGAGUUGGCGGCUUAACCAGCUGAGCCACCCAGGCGCCCCCCUCAUCUUUUUCUUGAUGCAGGUUCCCAAGAAGCUCUUCUUGACCACACAUUGCUUGUCCUAUUUACAAUUUGUGGUUUUCUAGAUAGAGCAUCAGUUCAGCCUUGCAGUUAAUCAAGAUUAUUUAUCCUCCUCCCUCCCCUACUAUCCAUUUUAGUGAGGUUUUGAUCUUUUAAUCAUUAAGGGUGAAAUUAUUUUUAACAUGAAUUCUUUUAAAACAUUUACCUUUGUUUUCAGUUUUUUAUUUUCUUCUACAAUAGCUUCAUAUUUCUCUUUCAUUUCUGCCAGUUCUAGGCGAAGCAGCUCUAUUUCUGGAUUUUCUGGAGUAGCAGCUCCUAAGUGAUGCUUUAAAAAACUAAUACCAAAGUUAAGAAUUUACUUGAGCUGAAUGAAACUAAUGAAAUAGCUCAGAGCAGUAUCAAUAUCUCUGAUCAUGGUCACCCCACCUUACCACCACCAUUUACCCAGAGAUCAUCAUCGCAAAACAUAAAGGAAAGUAACUUUUUCCAUCGUGAAAAAUAUUUUAAAUAUUUAUCUAUGUGAAAAAAUAAGAGUUCCAAAAAUAAGUCCUUUUUCUGACUUGAAAGAUGAAAAGGAUACUCCAAAGCACUAUUAGGUUUCUCUGGUUCUUCAUAUAAGGCUACCAAUACUGCAAAUCAAAAAGCAGAAAAAAGCAACAAUUAAAGUCUUAAAUUUGAAUGCCUGAAAAUUAUAUAGCCCAGUAAAUGUUAAAUGCCUGUUAUACGCCAAGCACAUUGCUAGGACUGCCAUACCAUACCAUAGGACUGGUAAACAAGGCAGCUAAGGUCCCUGCUCUCAACAACUUUACAGUCUAGUGCAAAAGCAAAGAACUAGACCAAAAAAAACAAAAAACAAAAAACAAAAAUGCAUCAAGUGGCAAUACAAGAUGAUGGAUCAUGGGAGCACUUUGGAAGAACACCUAACUCAGCCUAACAAACCAGGGAAGGCUCCCUAACAAAGGGAAAUAAGACCUGAGACUUGGCUAUGAGGGUUUCAGAUAAAAUGGGAAGGUGAGGGGGUGGGUAGGGCAAGAGAACAACACAUUGAGGAACCGAAAAUUCAAGUAUGGCUAGAUGGAGCCGUGAACAAUGUGGCAGGAAAGGAAGCUGGCAAGGUGGUCAGGACGCAGACCAGGGAGGAUCCUGCAAGUUUGGUUGGACUUUGAUCCUUAGAACAGGCAUAUAAUUAAACAGUUUUAAGCAGGAGAGUGACAGGAUCGCUCUUAACUACUGUGUGGAAGAUCCUGAGUGGGACAAGAAUGAAGGCAGGAAGAGCAGUUAAGAGGCAGGUGUGGCAAUCCAGCUGAAAAAGAUAGCAACCUGCACUAGAGUGGGGGGGGGGGGUGAAAAUAAGUAGAUAAAUUUGAGAAAAAUUUUGGAGAGAAUCAACAGGGCUAUGGUAAUUACUGAAAGAAGCUUUGAAUUCAGAAUGUGCUUCAAGAAUAGUUUCAUAUACAACAUGCUAAAUAACCACCAACCAAAGACUUUACCAGUUAUCCGCAUGCUCAAAUCAACAUUAUUUUAGUUUGUAUCCAAAAGCUCAUGUCAGCACUACCUUGCUCAUCUUCUACUGAACAAAUUCCUCCUGGGAUUUACUACUCAGAUAAAAGUCUCUAGACCAGUGGUUAAAUUUUUUGUGCAUGGAACCCUUUGAAAAGUGACAAAAGCCCAAAAAUGUAACUACACACAAAUAAUGUCCAUCUCUAGACUCCAAGUUAAAAACUGUUGUAAAACAACUUACACGCUUCCUUUUUUAGUUUUAAUAAAUCACAAAAUAGUAUAGACAGUAUGAGAAAAUCAAAUGGCAAUGACUUUUUAACACCCUGCACUGAGUUCUGAUAGUUAUUCUUCUAAGUAUACAUACAACCCAAUUUUUUGAGAAAUUGGUAGGUUUACAUCACCACCACCCUCUCUCUUCAAUAUGUUUUUCUUUAAAUAACACACUCAAACCUGUUUCUUCUUCCAUUAAUUUCCACUGAUCUCUGCCAACUAACGUUAUAAGACAUGAAUACUCUUAUCCUUUUCUACCUCUUCUUCCCCACCCCAUUUCUUUCAGCUUCUAAAUUUCUGUCUGUGGUACUAUGAGGUUGAUAAUUACAGAACAUAAUGUAAAUGUCAAGUUUCCUGUGCUUUUCUAUAGAUGAAAUAUACUUCCUUUUAAUCAGAUAAGAACUCAAUAGCUGGUGUUUCCCUUUUUGCCUUAGCAGGAGGGAUUUUUAGAGGUUGAUGUACUCAAAAUAACUCAAAUGCUUUUUUUCCAUAUGACUUAUCUUUAUCUUUAGCCGUCCUUUAGUGUUAAUGUUAGAAGCAGUUUCAGAUCCUCUUGGAAAUAUGCUGUAUUAAAAUUAAAUAUGUGUAAAGUACCCGUGUUUGAAAAUCAAAUUUUAAAUAGGUCACAUCAGUAGAGACAUUAUGUUAAAUUCUCUGAUAUUAUUUAGGAGACUGGAAAUCUACAGAGAUUGAGAAGUUAGAUACCAGUAGAUGUGAGCAAGGGAAAAGAAGCCUUCAGGGGUUUCCAAUCUCGCAAGGGAAGAUCCAUGAACGGCCAUAAGGCGGUUACUUCCCACCAAGGUCAUUUAUCUGUCUUCUAACAUUCUUUUACUUUGUCCAGCCACUCUGGCCUCCUUGCCUUCCUGGAAUGCUUGACAUCACAUUUCAUCCAGAUCUCUGCUCAAAUGUUACUUCUUGAGACCUUCCCCCAUCACACCUUAUAAAUGGCACACCCAUUGCUCUUUAUCCCCUUUGCUGUGUUUUUAUUCCCCACUGGCUGGCACUAUGUAUUAUCUGUCUCCUCCAAAUAGAAUAUAAGGUCAUUUAGAGCAGGGGCUUCCCCCCACCCCACUGCUGUAUCCCCAGUGCCUGGAACAGAGACCUGAAUAAAAUGAUGAAAGUUAAUUAA